rnacentral:rRNA from 1 species
AUGAUCGAUGAACUGCUGGAUGAGCUGUCUGGUGCUGCCUGGUUCACUAAACUUGAUUUGAGAGCUGGCUACCAUCAAAUUAGACUAGCCCCUGGCGAAGAAUACAAGACAACAUUCUCUACUCACAUUGGUCAUUAUGAGUUCACUGUACUGGCCUUUGGACUUAGUGGUGGUCCUGGCACCUUCCAGGGUUCUCUGAACACCACCUUGAAACCUGUCAACAGAAAGAACACACUAUGUGUCUUCGAUGAUAUUCUAAUCUUCAGUAAAACUUACAAGGAGCACCUGGCUCAUGUUAGAACAGUACUAGAAUUGCUUAGAGCUGAUCAGUGGAAGGUUAAGCUGUCCAAGUGUGCCUUUGCUCAGCAACAAAUU